CAGACUACACAUGCAAGUCGAGCGGCAGCGACAACAUUGAACCUUCGGGGGAUUUGUUGGGCGGCGAGCGGCGGACGGGUGAGUAAUGCCUGGGAAAUUGCCCUGAUGUGGGGGAUAACCAUUGGAAACGAUGGCUAAUACCGCAUGAUACCUUCGGCUCAAAGAGGGGGACCUUCGGGCCUCUCGCGUCAGGAUAUGCCCAGGUGGGAUUAGCUAGUUGGUGAGGUAAGGGCUCACCAAGGAGACGAUCCCUAGCUGGUCUGAUGAGGAUGAUCAGCCACACUUGGAACUGAGACACGGUCCAGACUCCUACGGGAGGCAGCAGUGGGGAAUAUUGCACAUGGGCGCAAGCCUGAUGGGCCAUGCCGCGUGUAUGAAGAAGGCCUUCGGGUUCUUUCAGCAGUGAGGAAGGAGGUAUCGUUAGUAGCGGUAUCUUUUGACGUUGGCUGCAGAAGAAGCACCGGCUAACUCCGUUGACAGCAGCCGCGGUAAUACGGAGGGUGCGAGCGUUAAUCGGAAUUACUGGGCCUAAAGCGCAUGCAGGUGGUUUGUUAAGUCAUAUGUGAAAGCCCGGGGCUCAACCUCGGAAUUGCAUUUGAAACUGGGAAGGUGAAGAAUAGUA
rnacentral:rRNA from 1 species